rnacentral:rRNA from 1 species
CAGUAGGGAAUUUUCGGCAAUGGGCGCAAGCCUGACCGAGCAACGCCGCGUGAGGGAAGAAGGUCUUCGGAUCGUAAACCUUUGUCUUUGGGGAAGAUAGUGACGGUACCCAAGGAGGAAGCCACGGCUAACUACGUGCCAGCAGCCGCGGUAAUACGUAGGUGGCAAGCGUUGUCCGGAAUUACUGGGCGUAAAGGGCGUGUAGGCGGCCUUUUAAGUCAGGCGUGAAAACUGUGGGCUUAACCCACAGACUGCGUUUGAGACUGAGAGGCUUGAGGAUCGGAGAGGGCAGUGGAAUUCCCAGUGUAGCGGUGAAAUGCGUAGAUAUUGGGAAGAACACCAGUGGCGAAGGCGGCUGCCUGGACGACACCUGACGCUGAGGCGCGAAAGCCAGGGGAGCAAACGGGAUUAGAUACCCCGGUAGUCCUGGCUGUAAACGAUGGGUACUAGGUGUGGGAGGUAUCGACCCUUCCGUGCCGGAGUCAACACAAUAAGUACCCCGCCUGGGGAGUACGGCCGCAAGGUUGAAA